UCUUUGUGUUUAAAGUGUCAAUCAAUCUGUUUCGCUGAAGUUUGAGUCAACUGGUGAGGAAUUUCUCUUUUUGAUCUGUAUUUGAUAAGAAUGAAUUAACUCAUACAAAAAACAUAUGAAAGCUUUGAUUUUUCUUCAACUUUGGUUUUUAGUUUCUCCAUGAAAAUUUAAGGCUCAGUUCAGAUGAGCUGAAUAGUUGUAUUUGGUUCUAUUUAGAUUUGAGAUUCUAUUUCUUAACUAUCUCUCGGAACUGUAAGCAAAAAUAGAUAUUUUAGCUGGGUAUUCUUUUCGAAUUCCAUGUAUUUUCUUAGCUGCCAAAACGUCAAUAUAUGUAUAUCAUAGAUCACUUUAUGUGUACAUCUAUGCCUAUUUGAUCCGUUGAUGCAAUUUGUUUGUGUGGAUUUAAAGCUUAAAUUCUGGUGAUGCAGUAAAGCUUGUGUCUUGUUUGUCUACCCUUUACACAUUAUAUCUGGAUUUGUGAUUGUUGGUAUUUAUAGGUUUGAAUGUGUUGCUUUCUUCUGAUUUGCUUAAUAUGAACUGAUAUGGAUUAUUUUUGGGUUUGUGAUAU
rnacentral:lncRNA from 1 species